rnacentral:lncRNA from 1 species
CUUCCUUAUUCUAAUAUGUGCCACUUGGAUAAACUUGUAUGAAACAUUUUUUUAUACUGUUUUGCAUGUAUUUGUGUUUGAGUCUGGUUUUUCCAGGUAGUCAGCAUUAUUUGGCUAUUCAGAACAAAACAUCUAUAAAAUAGGUGUGUUAGAAAUUAAAAUUUGACAUUAAAAUUUUAUAAUAAAUGCCCAUUUGUCCAGAAUUUAAUUCAACUAAGGUAAUUUGAAAACUUUUUUAAAAAGUACUGUAUUAAGUGUGCAAAGGCUUUCAUGCACUGUAAAAUAUUGUCCUUUUCCUUAAAGAGCUGGUAAGUAUGAAGUGGGAUAAAACAUAGCAGAAUAGUGUCACUAAAGGAAAUUCUCAAGUUAACUGAGAAUUAUUACAGUCAUCAUAAAAAGGCUUAUCAAUGGCCAAAGAAUAAAGAAUGAAGUGUUACAUACCUGAUACCUAAAACCCAUUGAAUAAUUUACAAUAUUCUUUUUUUGUUAUAGUUGAUUUACAAUGUUGUGCCAAUUUCUGCUGUACAGCAGAGUGACCUAGUCAUACUUAUACAUAUGUUCUUUGUCUAAUAUUAUCUUCUAUCAUGUUCUAUCCCAAGAGACUGGACACAGUUCCCUGUGCUACAUAUUGGGAGCCCAUAGCCCAUACAUUCUAAAUGAAAUAGUUUGCAUUUAUUAACUCCAAACUCCCAGUCCAUCCCACUCCCUCCCCUCUUCCCCUUGGCAACCACAAGUCUGUUUUCCAUGUCUGUGAGUCACUUUCUAGUUCAUUUAUGCCACAUUUUAGGUUCCACAUAUAAGUGAUAUCACAUGGUAUUUGUUUUUCUCUUUCUGACUUACUUAACUUAGUAUGAGAGACUCUAGUUCCUUCCAUGCUACCUCAAAUGGCAUUAUUUUGUUCCUUUUUAUGGCUAAGUAGUAUUCCAUUGUGUAUAUGUACCACAUUUUCUUAAUCCAGUCAUCUGUUGAUGGAUAUUUAGGGUGAAAAGGGAACACUUUUCCCCACAUUGUGGGAAUGUAAAUUGGUGCAGCCACUAUGGAAAACAGUAUGGAGUUUCCUUAGGAAACUAAGUAUAGACCUAUUAUAUGAUCCAGCAAUUCCACUCCUGAGUAUUUAUCUGGACAGAACUAUAAUUCAAAAAGAUACAUGCACAUGUAUAUUCAUAAUAGCCAGGAUAUUGCUAUAGUAUUCAUACCUGUUGAAGAAGUAUGAGCUCUCCUUCUCUUCCAGUGUAUGAGAAACCAGGAAAGUCUGGUAUUUUGGUUUUUGGGUUUUUUUAGCUGUACCCCCAGCACAUGUAAGUUCCUCAUCAACGGAAUGAACCUGGGCCAAAGCUAUGACCUAUGCCACAGCUGUGGCAGAGCUGGAUCCUUAACCCACUGCGCUGGCUGAUGAUGGAACCCAUGCCACCACAGAGACAAAGCUGGAUACUGAACCACUGUGCUAUAGCAGGAACUCCAAGGAAAGUCUUUUUUUGUGGGAGAGAGCCAGACAUACUAAAUAUGAGAAAGUAAAAUGGCAUCCAAAGAAAGUGCAGAUGUAAAUAAAGGGAAGGCUUGAAGAAAGUUUAAGUAGACAACCAGGGGUUAGAAAACUAGAAAAACAGUGAUGAUAGAGAAGGGGGUUAAUUCUGAAAGUCAGAGUUGUAUAGCUUUGCCCAGGUUUCUGUGUACCUCUAGGAAAUAUUCAUGGGCAAUAUUCUAGAUGCAUGUAAAGAGGCUGUGACAGAUGGAAACUUAGAAAUAACUCAGAAAUAUUGGGGGAUGUUAUGGUUAUUUGGGUACACAAUAAAUAAAAAGUUACUUAUCUGUAUAAAGAAAGCAAUUCCUGAAGUGCAGACUGUACCUUAGUGUCAAACGUUUUUUCUCUCUCUCUUGUUUUAAUUAAUUCAGGAGGGGUGGACACUCUAAUCUGUGCAUCGUGGUAGAUCACUAAGACCUACAUGAUGACAUUGUCUACUUUUACAAUCUAAAAGAAGCUUGUCAUGCAAUUUUUUUCCCCCUAGUGAAGAAAUCUCUGUUAGCUUUGAGAAAACAUAGAUAUAUUGUCUGGCAUUGUUCUUUGAGAAUUUCACUUUAUGAGGCUACAUGUUUUUUUGAUCCUAAUGGGAACACUUUUUGUUUUUAAUCUUUCUGGAAAAGUGUCUCGAUUUACUUUCACUUAUGACCUAAGGUGUAUUGGGCUAAAGAAAGUACCACAUUAGACCUGCGUUCUUUAAAAGGCAAAUACAGUUUGUAAAGAAGGUGGAAUCAUACCUUGAUGAAGAAUGGCUAGAUAGGCAGUUUGCUUUUGAAAGUGCUUAGCCUACUAUAUGUAAUUAGAUUCAUCUUUUUAGUUAAUAAUUAGGGUUUGAUAUAGGCCAGAUAAUAGUGUAGAUGUUAGCAGUACAGUGGUAAAGAAGCUGCCAGGAUUCCAAGCUAAACAAGUUUAUUAAACAAAUAAAUCAGACAUAGAUAAGAUAAUGAUAAUUUUUAAAAGAAAACAAGACAAGGUAAUGGGAUAAAAAAUGAUGAGGUCGGAGUCAGGUGGUAACUUGGGCAGAUUGGUCAGAGAAAGCAUCUCUGAGACGGAGACAUUUAAAAACUGAAUGCAAGGACAAUGGCAUGUGAACAUCUAGGGAUUCAAAUGUUUCAAGUGCAGAGAAACAAACACAGCAAAUCAACAGAUGGGUAGAAGGAACAAGGCUAUGCAUGGAAAAAAACAUAUUGGCUAUUUCAUCAUGUUGACUCUAUAGAGAUGUCCACAUAAGACAUCUUUAACAAAAAGUCCAUGAGCCAUUAAAUAAAUCUCAUUACCUGGCAGUUCCACAGCUCUCUCUCUAAAACAUAGCCCUUAAUUCUGAAAACAAAGAUGCUUUCUCAACCAUAAAAAGACAAAUAAAUGAUUAAUAUUGUUCUUAUAUUUAUACCCUUUUUAUUUACUAGAAGAAAAAAAUCAGUGGCAAGUGAGAACACUGCUUAGAAAAUCUAAUCUGCAUAAUAACUCAAGGUAGGAAUAAAGACCACUGUUGGGAAUUCCUCUUGUGGUGCAGUGGAAAUGAAUCUGACUGUUAUCCAUGAGGAUGAGGGUUUGAUCCCUGGCCCUGCUCAGUGGGUUGAGGAUCUGGCAUUAUCCUGAACUGUGGCAUAAGUCACAGACGCGGCUUGGAUCCUGUGUUGUCGUGGCCGUGGCAUAGGCUGGCAGCUGUAGCUCUGAUUUGACCCCUAGCCUGGGAACUU